UACAUACAACAGAAGGCACCGGUUAACUACGUGCCCGGCAGCGAAGUAAUACGUAGGGGCGAGCGUAUCCUGGAUUGUUGGGCGUAAAGAGCGCGUAGGCUGUUUUUUAUGUCGUAAGUGAAAUCCCUCGGCUCAACCGGGGAGUGUGCAGGCGAAACGGGCAAACUUGAGUGCUGCAGAAGAGAACUGGAAUUCCUUGUGUAGCGGUGAAAUGCGCAGAUAUCAGGAGGAACACCAGUGGCGAAGGCGGCUCUCUGGUUAGUAACUGACGCUGAGGAGCGAAAGCGUGGGUAGCGAACAGGAUUAGAUACCCUGGUAGUCCAUGCCGUAAACGGUGAGCGCUAGGUGUGAGGUCGUUUCCCCCACUCAGUGCCGUAGCUAACGCAUUAAGCGCUCCCGCCUGGGGAGUACGGCCGCAAGGCUAAAACUCAAAGGAAUUGACGGGGGCCCGCACAAGCGGCGGAGCAUGUGGAUUAAUUCGAAGCAACGCGAAGAACCUUACCUAGUCUUGACAUCUUCAGGAAGACGGCAGAGAUGUGGUUUCCCUUGUGGGACAUAUACACAUGGUGCACAGUGGUGUUCAGCUCUUGUCUUGAGAUAUUGGGUUAAAUCUCCCAAAGAGAGCAACCCCCGUGUUAUUUUGCCACCACAUAAAGGUGGGCACUCUUAAGAGACUGCCGGGGUCAAAUCGGAGGAAGGUGGGGAUGACGUCAAAUCAUCAUGCCCCUUAUGUCUAGGGCUUCACACAUGCUACAAUGGAUAGUACAGAGGGUUGCGAUACCGCGAGGUGGAGCGAAUCCCUUAAAGCUGGUCUCAGUUCGGAUUGGGGUCUGCAACUCGCCCCCAUGAAGUCGGAGUCGCUAGUAAUCGCAGAUCAGCAACGCGGCGGGGAAUAGUUUCCCGGCCUUGGUACACCCCCCCCUUCCCCUCAUGAAAGUCGGUACCCCCGAAAGCCGGUGGCUUAACCCUUGUGGAGCCAGCCGUCGUAGGUGGAUCGGAGAUGGAGGAAGUCGAAUCAAGAGCGCAAACU
rnacentral:rRNA from 1 species